AUAUGUAUCUCAUUUUAUUUUAUGUUAUUCCAUUGACCCAAACACAAAGUCAUUUUUCUUGAAUACUGAAUGCUCAUGUACCUUUUUAAUUAAAGCUUAAAAAGCUCUUAAUUAAAGUCAUAAAUCAGGGGCAGCAAUUUCUACCUAAAUUGUCUUGCAAGCCUUCCUGGUUUUCCUUCUGCUUCACGGUGACCUGCGAGGCAACUGCGGGGUGAAGAUGCCUUUCACACUUAAUCUGUGGUAAGCAGCUUGGGCAUGGGGGAGCAGGCGGGCAGUCCUAUCGUGGCGUCUCUGUCACCAGCCAGGUGCCUGUGGUGGCCAGCAGGGCCAGGCGGCCUUUGUGAGCAGGCAGGUGGUCCUAUCGUGGCGUUUCUGUCACCUGCCAGGUGGCUGUGGUGGCCAGCAGGACCAGGUGGUCUUCGUGAGCAGUUGGGUGGUCCUAUCGCGGCAUCUCUGUCACCAGCCAGGUGCCUGUGGUGGCCAGCAGGGCCAGGCGGUCUUCAUGAGCAGGCAGGUGGUCCUAUCGCAGUGUCUCUGUCACCAGCCAGGUGACUGUGGUGGCCAGUAGGGCCAGGCGGUCUUCGUGAGUGGGCGGGUGGUCCUAUUGUGGCAUCUCUGUCACCAGCCAGGUGCCUGUGAUGGCUAGCAGGGCCAGGCGGUCUUCAUGGGAGCAUUAUUCAUGGACCCUCAUCCCGUCUCAUGCCUCUCCUGCCUUCCUCUACUGUGGUGACGAGGACAGGUCUCACCUGUGCACUCAUUUCCAGGAUGAUGGGCAGCUUUCUAGAAGCUUUUGUGUGCCAAGAAUUGGCCAUGUCUUCUUUUGAAAAGUGUCUGUUCAUGUCCUUUGCCCACUUCUCAGUGGGGCUGUUUGGUGUUUGCUUAUAAAUUUGUUUAAGCUCUUAAUAGGGCUAGAUAUUAGAUCUUUAUCAGAUGCAUAUAGUUUGCAGAUAUUUUCUCCCAUUCUAUGCCAUUAUCCUUAGCAAACUAAUGCAGGAACAGAAAACCAAAUGCUGCAUGCUCUCACUUAGAAGUGGGGGCUAAAUGAUGAGAACACACGGACACAAGAAGGGGAACAGCACACACUGGGGCCUACUUGAGGGUGGAGGGUGGAAGGAGGAAGGGGAUCAGAAAAAAAUAACCGUUGCAUACUAAGUUUAGUACCCGGGCAAUGAAAUAAUCUGUACAUCAAACCCCCGUGACCCGAGUUUAUCUACAUAACAAACCUGCGCAUGUACCCUGAACCUAAAAUAAAAGUUAAAAAAAAAUUUAAAAAAGAAUUGGCCAUAUAUUGAUAUUUUCAAAAAUUAACAAGUGGCUCUUGCCAAUACCUCAUCGGGGUACAAUUAGCACUUGACAAAUUGCCCGUUCUGCACACACUGCACAGUUUGAUAAGUUUUGAAAUCUGCGCACAUCAUGGCAUCAUUACCACAGUCAAGGUAAGGAACAGAUCCAGUCCUUCCUCAAAAGAAGCUUCUUUUUAAAUCCCUCCUGCCUUCCCAAGGCCUCUCCCUCCAUCCCAGGAAACCCCCCCUUCUGCUUCCUGUCACUAUAAACCAAUUUGCAUUUGAUAAAAGUUUUUACAAAUUGAACCAUACAGUAGGCACUGUUUUUCGACUGGCUUCUUCUACUCAAACUAUUUUAGAGUUUCCUCCGUGUUGUCGCAUUAUCAAUAAUACAUCAUUCUUUAUGUAUCUCUGGGUAAUAUUCCCUUGAAUGCACAUGCUCAUUCAGUUCACCCGCAUUCCCACCAAGAGCUGGUAUGGUCAGUCUUUUGCUUUUAGAGACUCCAGUGGGUUUAUGGUGGGAUAUCGUGGUGAUUCUAAUUUGCAUUUCUCCAUGAGUAAUGAUGUUGAGCAUCUUCUGAGUGCCUAUUUGCCAUCUGCUUAUCUUCUUUAGCGAAGCAUCCAAAUCUCUUACCCAUUGUUUUACUGAACUGUUUAUUUUCUUAUUUUUGGGUUUUCAGAGUUUUUUCUAAAUCCUGAAUACAAGUCCUGUGUCAGAAAUAUAACUUGCAAAUACUUUCUCCCAGUCUAUGGCUUACUGUUUUGUUGUCUUAAUUAUGUCCUUCAAAAAGUAGAUAUUCUUACUUUUGGUAAAGCCCAAUAUAUCAUUCUUCUGCUUUUACGGAUCGUAUUUUUGAUGUCAUAUGUAAGAAAUAUUUGCCCAGCCCAAGGACACAAAAAUUAUCUCUUAUAUUGUCUCCUUUUUCAGUUUUCUU
rnacentral:lncRNA from 1 species